rnacentral:misc_RNA from 1 species
UGUGUAAUAAAAAAUAUACCAGAAUAACUUCUUUGCAUUUGCUGUCAAAACGUCUAACAUUAUGAUUUUGGCUAAAAAAUUUUGCUUCUGUAUAUCCUUGCAAAAGGGAUGUAUACUAAUAGCAUUGACUGGAAUAUUUUUGGCUGGCAUGAACAUUGACUAUAUGAUACUUUGUUUAAAUAGAACCUAUUCCCAAGAAAAGCAGCAUAAAUUCCCAGAAAGAGUUCUCUACACAUUCUUACAAAUGAUACCGGAUUGGUUAACCAUCUUGGCAUCGUGCGUACUAAUAUAUGCAAUCUUAUCGCAUUACUUCAGCAUCAAUCGGUUCGAAUUUAAUUAUUAAUGAGAGUAUUUGGCAUAAUUUAACUUAUUGGAUUUACGUGCUCUUUUGGCUAGCACUGACAGCGUAUUUCAUGUACAUAAUAUAUUCGU